GUCUCAGUAGCUCAGCUGGAUAGAGCAGCGCCCUUCUAAGGCGUCGGUCGGGGGUUCGAAUCCCUCCUGGGACG
rnacentral:tRNA from 6 species